ACAGGUAGUUAAGAUCUAGACAGAGACAGGUAUCUAGAGCAAGGCAGGUAGUUAAGAUCCAGACAGAGACAGGUUUAUAGAGAAAUGCAGGUAGUUAAGAUCCAGACAGAGACAGGUAUCUAGAGAAAGGCAGGUAGUUAAGAUCCAGACAGAGACAGGUAUCUAGAGAAAGGCAGGUAGUUAAGAUCCAGACAGAGACAGGUAUCUAGAGAAAGGCAGGUAGUUAAGAUCCAGACAGAGACAGGUAUCUAGAGAAAGGCAGGUAGUUAAGAUCCAGACAGAGACAGAUAUCUAGAGAAAGGCAGGUAGUUAAGAUCCAGACAGAGACAGGUAUCUAGAGAAAGGCAGGUAGUUAAGAUCCAGACAGAGACAGGUAUCUAGAGAAAGGCAGGUAAGACAGAGACAGGUAUCUAGAGAAAGGCAGGUAGUUAAGAUCCAGACAGAGACAGGUAUCUAGAGAAAGGCAGGUAGUUAAGAUCCAGACAGAGACAGGUAUCUAGAGAAAGGCAGGUAGUUAAGAUCCAGACAGAGACAGGUAUCUAGAGAAAGGCAGGUAGUUAAGAUCCAGACAGA